UCCCCGGGAGGGGGGCUGCCUGCUGCCUGACGCUUGGGGGGGGACAGGGAGGAGAGGCUCUCAGAGACGCCACCCAGUGCCUGCACAGGCGCGCUGCCCCGCGAUCCCGGCAAUCCCUGCGCCUGGAGCUCCGUCCGGCCCCGCUCUCCCUCUCCCGGGGGAUCCUCGGGGAUCCCUCCUGUUCCCUCCUCGGCCUGGCUUUCAGGGCCCGCUGGGCCGGGCCGUCCUCCUCGGCCUCUCCCUCGUCCCCCUUCCCAGAGGCCGUGGGAGCGGAGCAUUAACCAUGCAACAGCCCUGGCGGGCGGCGUCCUUCACGGGCAGUGCCGGUGUCUCAGCAGUGCCGGAGCGGGGCACCCUAGGGCAUCCAGCCCCCCUCUCCCCCCCCAGGGGGGCUUCAGCUCCUUCCUGGGGCCCCACACGGUGCAAGCCGGGGUCACUCCGGGGCCGCCCAGGAAGUGCCCAGUGGGAACGGCCCCCUGUGGGCCAGGGGGCUAGAGAGGGACAGACCCCUGACCCAGGGUCACAGCCCCCAGGCAGGGACAGACUGGGCAGAAGGGGGACGGCGCCUCCGAGAGUGGCCCCGGGAACUCUUCUGUCCUCCCCUCUGUCCUCUUGCACACUCUCACACACACACACACACCCCCCUCCCUCCUCUUCCAGCCUCUCUCUUACACACUCACACACGCUCAGUCACUCAGAAAUAUUUCCGCAGGAGGGCCCCCCCUCUCCCCCCCGCCCCCCAGGGUAAGAGCAGCACCUCCCAGCCUCGGGGCUGCCCAGGGCUCUGGGGCUAAAGUCCGGGCUGUCCCCCGGAGCACCCAGAAGGCACCCCUGCCCCCCCAUCACAGUCUCCAGCUUGCUUCUGGGUAAAAAGGCCCCCUAAGUAGAAGCGCGUUUCCGGGCUCCUCCCUCGGGUGCCCGUCUGUGCCCCGGCCCGGGCGGAGAAGCCUUGCUUAGGCCCAUUGUGCCCCCUGCUAGAGGAGCCUCAGCAGCCCCCCCCCAGCCCGGGCGGAGAACAGAACCCCACGGGCACGUGGGGCACACAGAGCUCGGGGCCUCCUCCCUCAGUCAGGACCCCCAGGGCUGCCCCCUAGAAGCGGCCGGAGGCAGGGCUGGAUUUACCAAGUGGCCGCCAGUGUCCGGGCCCUUUCCUGGGGGGUAGAGAGAGACCGGACCAGAGGGGCGGGGUCAGUGACCCGCACCCGGGACAGGCGGAGGCCGAGGUGGCACCGGCCGGGCCCAGAUGCUCCGCUUUGCCGUUGACCCCGUAAAGAAAGUGACUUCCUCGCUCCGGGCCUCGGUUGCCCUUCUAAAAAUGAGGGUGUGAACUGAGCGGCCAUUAAACUCCCUCCCGCCGCCGGUCCUGGACUGGGCCCGGGUCUGGGAUCUGACUGUAAGCCCUGUGGUCCAGCCCUCGGGCUCCUCACCUUUAAACGGGGAGCUUAAAGCCCGAGCCCUCCACCUGUCUGGCGGAGGGCAGCAGAGCCCGCCCAGGUGAUCCCCUCCCCCAACGAGGGCGGAGCCCGUCCAGGUGAUCCCCUCCCCCAACGAGGGCGGAGCCCGCCCAGGUGAUCCCCUCCCCCAACGAGGGCGGAGCCCGCCCAGGUGAUCCCCUCCCCCAACGAGGGCGGAGCCCGUCCAGGUGAUCCCCUCCCCCACCGGGGGCGGAGCCUGUCCAGGUGAUCCCCUCCCCCACCGGGGGCGGAGCCCGCCCAGGUGAUCCCCUCCCCCAACGAGGGCGGAGCCUGUCCAGGUGAUCCCCUCCCCCAUCUGGAGGUCCCGAGGCGCGCCCCAGCAGCGAGCGCCGCCUCCCGUGCACACGGCAGUUCAGGUGGCAUCUCUGGGGGCCUCUCUGAGUUGGGGGGGGGGGGUGCAUGUUGGGGGAGGGGGAGUUCCGCCAGCUUGCCUCCCGCCUCUCCCCAAGCCUGGGGUGGCCGGUCCCGUUCCAUGGCCCCCAUUUUCCUGGCUCUGUCCUUCCUGCUCCUCCCCCUCCCCUUUUGUCCCACCAGCAUCAUCCGUAUUGAUUUGCCCCCAAGUGCAGGGACGGGAGCCUGGGCUCUAACCCGCCUCUCCUCCUGACUUAACCGGCUUGGGCGCCCUUCCCCUCCGAGGCAUGGGGCUGCAGUAGCAUGGGCUGCCACGGGGGGCGCUGUGGGGUCAUGGGGCGCUCCCAGGGCUCUCUGGGAGAAAGUGCCGGGAUCUUCCUUUCCCUUCCUCUCCCUGACCCACACUGGGCCCUCCCAUUGUCUCUCCCCAAGCCCUUCUCUUCCCUCUCCUCACCCCCUCGGCCCCACCUCCCCCUUUCUCUCCUUCCACCUCCCCCCCCCCCCCUUUCUCUUUUUUCUGACCUGCCCAGGGUCACACAGCCAGGAAGUGACGUGUCUGAGGUCGGAUUUGAACUCGGGCCCUCCUGACUUCAGGGCUGUGCUCUGUGUCCCCACCCCCCCCUGCCCCUCUCCUUUUUCUUCCACUUCGGCCUCUCUUUUCUAGCAGCCGCCUCAGUUUUCUGGCUUCUCCCCAUUUUUACCACUUUCUUCCCCUGGAACCUCCUACUUCUCUUUCUUCCUUCACUUCCUCCAGUGUUUCCUCCCUCCCUCCCCUCGCCACAGACACAAGGCUCCUUCUCUGCCGCCUCCACAUCUGCCCUUUCCCCUUGGUCCCGUCACUUCCUUUCUCUGGUCUCCCCAUGAGGGCCCAUGUCCCCUCCUCCAUGUGCUCCCACAUCCUCCCUCAUGUGCUCCCAUGUCCCCUCCUUCACGUGCUCCCAUAUCCCGUGCUCCCAUAUCCUUCCUUAUGUGCUCCCACGUCCCCUCCCUCAUGUGCUCCCACGUCCCCUCCCUCAUGUGCUCUCAUAUCCUUCCUUAUGUGCUCCCACGUCCCCUCCUCCAUGUGUUCCCACAUCCUCCCUCAUGUGCUCCCACGUCCUCCUCAUGUGCUCCCACGUCCCCUUCUUCAUGUGCUCCCAUGUCCCCACCCCACGUGCUCCCACCUCCCGUUGUUUUUCCCUCCUGACCCUGUCUCCUUUUUUUCUCUCUCUCCCCCAUCCACCCCUUCUCUC